ACGGAAGGCAGCAGUGGGGAAUAUUGCACAAUGGGCGCAAGCCUGAUGCAGCGAUGCCGCGUGAGGGAAGAAGGUUUUCGGGUUGUAAACCUCUGUCAACAGGGACGAAAAUGACGGUACCUGUAAAGGAAGCUCCGGCUAACUACGUGCCAGCAGCCGCGGUAAUACGUAGGGAGCAAGCGUUAUCCGGAAUUACUGGGUGUAAAGGGAGUGUAGGCGGGACUGUAAGUCAGAUGUGAAAUAUGCCGGCUCAACUGGCAGACUGCAUUUGAAACUGCGGUUCUUGAGUGAAGUAGAGGUAAGCGGAAUUCCUAGUGUAGCGGUGAAAUGCGUAGAUAUUAGGAGGAACAUCAGUGGCGAAGGCGGCUUACUGGGCUUUAACUGACGCUGAGGCUCGAAAGCGUGGGGAGCAAACAGGAUUAGAUACCCUGGUA
rnacentral:rRNA from 1 species